rnacentral:rRNA from 1 species
AUUGAACGCUGGCGGCAGGCCUAACACAUGCAAGUCGAGCGGAUGAAGGGAGCUGGCUCCUGGAUUCAGCGGAGGACGGGUGAGUAAUGCCUAGGAAUCUGCCUGGUAGUUGGGGAUAACGUCCGGAAACGGGCGCUAAUACCGCAUACGUCCUGUGGUAGAAAGUGGGGGAUCUUCGGACCUCACGCUAUCAGAUGAGCCUAGGUCGGAUUAGCUAGUUGGUGGGGUAAAGGCCUACCAAGGCGACGAUCCGUAACUGGUCUGAGAGGAUGAUCAGUCACACUGGAACUACGACACGCUCUAGACUCGUAAGGGAGGCAGCAGUGGGGAAUGUGGGACCAUGGGCGAAAGCCUGAUCAAGCGAUGACGCGUGUGUGAAGAAGGUCUUCGGAUUGUAAAGCACUUUAAGUUGGGAGGCCGGUUAGUAAGUUAAUACCUCGCUGUUUUGCGGUAACUAAAAGAAUAAGAACCGCCUACCAUGGU